ensembl:lncRNA MSH2-OT1 MSH2 overlapping transcript 1
CUCAGCAAGGCAACCAACACCAGACAUGAAGCUGGAGGAGAUUUUAAAAGGAAGUCUCUGGUGGUUUGUAAAGCAACAAAUCCUGCUCUCAAGUGGAUAGUUCCAAGCCCUCUCAAUGAAUUCAGUUUUAUACACCUGGAGAAGCACAGCCUCGUCCUUUCCAUGGAGCUACAAGCCACAUCUGGGGGCGCUCAGUGCCCAGGCUGAGGGGGCACGCAGAGCCCUCGGGGACGACUCAAUGCACAGAGGCCACUCCUUAAGGGCCCGGCUCCCUCAAACUGAGGUGUCCCCAUGCUUGGUCUUCCCACAGAAGCCAGCCUGGUUGGCUGCUUCAAAGGAGGAAUAAAGAUGAGGAGCCAUGA